rnacentral:misc_RNA from 1 species
UACGGAGGUGGCAAGCGUUGCUCGGAUUUACUGGGUGUAAAGAGUUCGUAGGCGGUUUUGAAAGCCUGACUUGAAAUACUAUGGCUUAACCAUAGAACGUGGUUGGGAACUACAAGACUAGAGGAUGACAGAGGCAAGCGGAAUUCCCGGUGUAAGGGUGAAAUCUGUAGAUAUCGGGAGGAACACCAGUGGCGUAGGCGGCUUGCUGGGUCAUAUCUGACGCUGAGGAACGAAAGCUAGGGGAGCAAACAGG